UCCUUAUCAAGAGAAACUUAGGGACUGGCCCUAUGAAGUUUCAGCAACCUCAUGUUUUUCCUAUGCGUAAACAUGUAAAGGUGCUAAUUCCAGCAGAUCAUAAUAAUUCUGAAAGAUGAGGG
rnacentral:ncRNA from 2 species